AACCCAAAGGACUUGACGGUAUCCCACCCAACUAGAGGAGCCUGUUCUAUAAUCGAUGAUCCACGAUAUACCUAACCAUUUUUUGCUUUCAGCCUGUAUACCUCCGUCGUAAGCUUACCAUAUGAACGCAUAAACAGUAAGUUCAAGGGCCAUAACACGCCACUACGUCAGGUCAAGGUGCAGCUCAUAAAAUGGAAGAUAUGGGCUACAAUUUCUAACUUAGAACAAACGAAAUACUAUAUGAAAUAUAGUUAUGAAGGAGGAUUUAGCAGUAAGUAGGGAAUAGAGAGCCCCACUAAACUCGGCCCUGGGAUGUGUACAAACCGCCCGUCACCCUCUUCGAUAG
rnacentral:rRNA from 1 species